GGAAUAGGACCCUGUCCUCCUAUUUUCAGUUGGUUUGCCGCGAGGACCAGGGUAAUGAUUAAUAGGGAUAGUUGGGGGCAUUAAUAUUUAAUUGUCAGAGGUGAAAUUCUUGGAUUUAUGAAAGAUUAACUUCUGCGAAAGCAUCUGCCAAGGAUGUUUUCAUUAAUCAAGAACGAAAGUUAGGGGAUCGAAGACGAUCAGAUACCGUCGUAGUCUUAACCAUAAACGAUGCCGACCAGCGAUUAGGAGACGUUGAAUACAAAACACCACCAUGCGCAUUGCGGUCGUCUUUGGUGUCGCUCACAAGGCGGCACCGGGGCGGCUUAGCUCGCAUGGCACCGGUGAAU
rnacentral:rRNA from 1 species